AAUCCCAAAUUCAGUUUUCUGCUUUGGUUACACAACCAAACCAGAUGUGUAUUUCAAGUAGUGUAGGUCUCUGUGCUGAUUCCACUUGUCAUGUUUGCAGGCGGAGGUUCCUGGUUCCAAAGCUAAAGGAGCCAAAGAGGAACCUGCACUGGAUCCAUUUGCAGCCCUGGGCGACACACUACCUUCAUCUGCACCCGUCAAACCUCAACAGCCUGAAUAUACUGGGCCAGAGGUCAAAGAGGAUGACAACACCUCUGAUGAAGCUGUAAUAUGUGGAGAAAGAGAAGAUACACUGCCUCCUGGUUACAGACUUGAAGACAUGGUUGCCGUGCAAACAGAUGUCAAACCGGAACCUGCCCCUAAACCAAUGAGCACAGAUGAGGCUCUGGAUUCUCUUUCAGCUGGUUUCAUGUCUUCCACUGCUCCAGCUCAGUCGAAGAAGCAAGAGGUCAGAGUCUUCCAGCCACUUAGCACUGGACAUAAACAUAAAAUGGACCAUGUCGAUGGCGUCUGUGCAUCAUCUGUAUCUGCACCAGUUUCCUCCACUGUUCUAAAGAAAGCUGAUGCUGCCACGGCUCCUCCUGCCGAUAAGAAAUCUAAAAUGGAAAAAGUUACAGAUAAUUUGGAGCUUGGAGUCACUGCUGCCGCUGCCAAGACCGUUAAAAGUUCUGCUUUACCUCCUGCGGUUGUGAGUCCUGGGCCUCCUGCUGAUAAAAAACCCAAAAUGGAAAAAGCUGGUGAUGACUGCAGUCUGGAGACUGGACUUUUACCAGACCCAUCCAAGAAAAUUGACACCUCUGCAGUUCCACUUGCCACUGUGUGUACUGAUGAUUAAAAAACCAAAAACUCAUAAAAGUGAUUUCUCUCUGAAGGCUGGACUUAAGGCCACAGGCACAAUUGUAACACCUAAAACUGAGGAGGGUGGUUCAUUAUCUAUGGAUGCUCUCAGUGCUCUUGGCGAUACUCUGCCUGCUGCAGCACCAAAGCCUGAACCUCCUAAACUCAAACCUGAGGAUAUUGUC